AUACGUAGGGGGCGAGCGUUGUCCGGAAUGAUUGGGCGUAAAGGGCGCGUAGGCGGCCUGUUAAGUCUGGAGUGAAAGUCCUGUUUUCAAGAUGGGAAUUGCUUUGGAUACUGAUGGGCUUGAGUGCAGGAGAGGUUAUCGGAAUUCCCGGUGUAGCGGUGAAAUGCGUAGAGAUCGGGAGGAACACCAGUGGCGAAGGCGGGUAACUGGACUGCAACUGACGCUGAGGCGCGAAAGUGUGGGGAGCAAACAGGACUAGAUACCCUGGUAGUCCACACUGUAAACGAUGAAUGCUAGGUGUAAGAGGUAUCGACCCCUUUUGUGCCGCAGUUAACACAAUAGGUAUUCCGCCUGGGGAGUACGGCCGCAAGGUUGAAACUCAAAGGAAUUGACGGGG
rnacentral:rRNA from 1 species